rnacentral:rRNA from 1 species
GGACUACCCGGGUAUCUAAUCCUGUUUGCUACCCACGCUUUCGUGUUUCAGCGUCAGUUGCGGUCCAGAGAGCCGUCUACACCACCGGUAUUCCUCCUGAUAUCUACGCAUUUCACCGCUACACCAGGAAUUCUACUCUCCCAUCCCGCACUCUAGCCCGUCAGUAUUCCGCGCACCCUCCCGGUUGAGCCGGGAGAUUUCACACGGAACUUAACAGGCCGCCUACACACCCUUUACGCCCAGUAACUCCGAACAACGCUUGCUGCCUACGUAUUACCGCGGCUGCUGGCAC